rnacentral:rRNA from 1 species
AAUGAACGCUGGCGGCGUGCCUAAUACAUGCAAGUCGAGCGAACGGACGGGAAGCUUGCUUUUCUGAUUUUAUCGGCGGACGGGUGAUUAACACGUGGAUAACCUACCUAUAAGACUGGGAUAACUUCAGGAAACCGUAUCUAAUACCGGAUAAUAUUUUGAACCUCAUUGUGCAAAAGUUAAAUACGGUCUUUCUGUCACUUAUAGAUUGAUCCGCGCUCCAUUAGUUAGUUGGUAAGGUAACGGCUUACCAAGGCAACGAUGCAUAGCCGACCUGAGAGGGUGAUUGGAUACCAUGGAAGUGAGAAACGGCAGCGACUCCUACGGGAGGACGCAGCAGGGAAUCCUACGGAAUGGGGGAAAGGCUGACGGAGCACAGUCGCGUGAGUGAUGAAGGUCUUCGGAUCGUAAAACGAUGUUAUCCGGGAAGAACAUAUGUGUAAGUACCCGUGAACAUAAUGACGGUACCUAAUCAGAAAGCUACGGCUAACUCCGUG